rnacentral:rRNA from 1 species
CUAGCACGGAGAGUUUGAUUCUGGCUCAGGAUGAACGCUGGCGGCAUGCCUAACACAUGCAAGUUGAACGAAGCUUUGAAAAGCUUGCUUUUCAAUGUUUAGUAGCGGACGGGCGAGGAAUGCUUAAGAAUCUGCCCCUAGGAAAAGGAUACCAACCUGAAAAGGUUUUAGAUACUUUAUAAGCUGAGAAGUCAAAUGGAUUUACCUCCGCCUAGGGAUGAGCUUAAGUCUGAUUAGUAAGUUGGUGGGGUAAUGGCCUACCAAUACCGCGAUCAGUAGUUGGUCUGAGAGGAUGACCAGCCGCAUUGGGACUGAGACACGGCCCAGACUUCUACGGAAGGCAGCAGUGAGGAAUUUUCCGCAAUGGGCGCAAGCCUGACGGAGCAAUGCCGCGUGAAGGAUGAAGGCCUGCGGGUUGUAAACUUCUUUUCUUAGAGAAGAUAACGACGGUAUCUAAGGAAUAAGCAUCGGCUAACCUUGUGCCAGCAGCCGCGGUAAUACAAGGGAUGCAAGCGUUAUCCGGAAUGAUUGGGCGUAAAGGGUCUGUCAUGGCGGUUUAAAAAGUCUCGUGUUAAAACCCAAGGCUUAACCUUGGAUCGGCAUUGGAAACUUUGAAACUAGAGUUAGGUUGAGGUAGAUGGAAUUACCGGUGUAACGGUGAAAUGUGCAGAUAUCGGUAAGAACACCAACGGCGAAAGCAAUCUACUGGGCCAUAACUGACGCUCAAGGACGAAAGCUAGGGGAGCGAAUAGGAUUAGAUACCCUAGUAGUCCUAGCUGUAAACGAUGGAAACUAAGUAUUGAGCGAAAGCGCAGUAUUAAAGCUAACGCGUUAAGUUUCCCGCCUGGGAAGUAUGCUCGCAAGAGUGAAACUCAAAGAAAUUGACGGGGGCCCGCACAAGCGGUGGAGCAUGUGGUUUAAUUCGAUGCAACGCGAAGAACCUUACCGGGGAUUGACAUUUAGCGCAUUUUUUGGAAACGAGAAAGUUCAAACGCUUAAACAGGUGGUGCAUGGCUGUCGUCAGCUCGUGUCGUGAGACGUAAGGUUAAGUCCUGUAACGAGCGCAACCCUUAUUGUUAGUAGCUUUUAGGAAACUAGCGAGACUGCCAGUUUUAAGCUGGAGGAAGGUGAGGAUGACGUCAAGUCAGCAUGCCCCUUAAAUCCCGGGCUACACACGUGCUACAAUGGUUGGGACAAAAAGAAGCUAACUCGCGAGAGCACGCAAACCUUAAAAACCCAAUCUCAGUUCGGAUUGGAGGCUGCAACUCGCCUCCAUGAAGCCGGAAUCGCUAGUAAUCGCAGGUCAGCCAUACUGCGGUGAAUACGUUCCCGGGCCUUGUACACACCGCCCGUCACACCAUGGAAGCUGAUUAGGCCCGAAGUCGUUGUAAACGCCUAAGGCAUAGUUAGUGACUGGGGUGAAGUCGUAACAAGGUAGGGCUACUGGAAGGUGGCCCUGGAUCACCUCCUUC